UCUGCCAUUCACAAUGUUGAAUUUGUUUCUUCAGAAAUUUCAGACUUGCUGAAAUAUAAACGUAUUAUAGAAGUUCCUUUUCAGCCGUUUGUGUGCAGUCCCCUGAGUGUCGCAGAAAAUAAAAACAAAAAGAGGUUGAUUCUUGAUCUCAGUAGGUUAAAUAAGGACGUAAAGUAUGAAAAAAUAAAGUUUGAAGACUGGAAGACGGCAUUAGAUUAUUUCGAAAAGGGUUUUUAUUGCAUAAAAUUUGAUCUGAAAUCAGGAUACCAUCAUAUAGAUAUAGCUGAAGAAUAUCAGAAUUAUCUAGGGUUUCAGUGGGAUAAUAAAUAUUACUGCUUUACAGUUCUGCCAUUUGGUCUUUCAUCAGCUCCAUUUAUUUUUACUAAAUGUUUAAGACCUCUGGUGAAGUUUUUGAGAAAAAGUGGUAUAAUGAUUGUAUUGUAUCUAGAUGAUGGGUUAGUAUUUGCUUCAACUGAGAGUCAAUGUAUUUUAGAUUCUAAUUUCAUUCAGAAAACAUUGUCAGAAACUGGACUGGUGGUCAAUAUAGACAAAUCAAAGUUUAUUCCAACGCAAAUUAUUGAAUGGUUAGGUUUAACAUGGAAUUCAAAUUCAUUUUCCAUUUCAGUUCCGGAUAGACGAAUAGAAGACGCUGUUUGUUGUUUGAAGAAAGUUAUUGGUCGUUUCCCAGAUAUAACAGCGAGAGAACUGGCACAAAUAUAUUUAAAGUGGGCAGAUGGAUGGGCAUUAACAACGAAAGUAAAGAUCGCCGUCUUGAGGAACUCGCAUCAGAACUACCUCGAUAUUGUAUAACAUCCAAGGCUGACAACACAGCAAAACAAUACAGG